CACCUGGGAGGAGUGGCAGUACCUGGAUGAUGAUCAGAGGAGCCUGUGCAGGGAUGUGAUGCUGGAGACCUAUAGCAGCCUGGUGGUGUUGGGCUGCUGCAUUCCCAAAUCAGAGGUGAUCUUCAAGUUGGAGCAGGGAGCAGAGUCAUGGACAUUAGAAGAAACCCUCAACCAGAGCCUACAAGUGUGAUAUUCUGCUGUCACCGAAGUCACCACCAAAGAUAGCCUUCACCAAAUGUAUUCCCUGGACUUCGGACUUCUGCCCUCAGAAA